rnacentral:rRNA from 1 species
CAGCCGCCACGGUAAUACGAAGGGGGCUAGCGUUGUUCGGAUUUACUGGGCGUAAAGCGCACGUAGGCGAACGCUUAAGUCAGGGGUGAAAUCCCGAGUCUCAACCUCGGAACUGCCCUUGAUACUGGGUGUCUUGAGUCCGGGAGAGGUGAGUGGAACUGCGAGUGUAGAGGUGAAAUUCGUAGAAAUUGGGAAGAACACCGGUGGCGAAGGCGGCGACCUGGUCCUUUACUGACGCUGAGGCGCGAAAGCGUGGGGAGCAAACAGGAUUAGAUACCCGAGUAGUCCCUGUCUCUUAUAC